GGUAAUUAAUGUCACGGGAAUUUCAGUCGGCACUGGUUUGGCACAAGCUUAUGAUACUCUUAUCGCUCAGACAUUUGGGAGCGGAAACUUGAAGCGUGUUGGUGUGAUUCUGCAGAGAGGGAUCCUGAUUCUGCUGCUGGCUUGUUGCCCCUGCUGGGCUGUUCUCAUCACACACGAGUCCAUUCUUCUCGCUUUGAAACAAACUCCAGAAGUGGCCCCAUCUGUCCCAGAUUUAU